rnacentral:lncRNA from 1 species
AAAGACUCCUGCUGCUUCCUACUAGACGUGAGGCUUGCACUGCUCCCGCCAUGGAGCUCAGAUCAUGCCCUGGAGAAGCAGGUGACAUCGCGGAAUUUUCCUGUUCCAGAUGCCAGAAGUCUGAAAUGAAGGUGUAAAGCAGGGUGGUUCCUUCUGGAGGCUCUGAGAGAAUCACCCCAGGCCUCUCUCCAGCUUCUGGUGCUGGUAUUCUCAGGCUUGUAGGCGCAUCACCCAUGUCUGCCUCCAUCUUCACAUGGCCUUCUCCUCUGUGUCUGCCUGAAGUCUCCCUUCAUUUCUCUUGUAAGGACAUCAGUCAUUGGAUUUAGAGCCCACCCUAAACCCAGAAUGAUCUCAUCUCAAGAUUACAUCUGCACAGACGCUAUUUCCAGAUAAGGUCACAGUCAAAGGUACCAGGGGUUAGGAUAUGAACAUAUCUUUUUGAAAGACACGAUUUAACCUACAGCAGGUGCUCAGGGCAGUUGGGUGGGGGCCUGUGCUAGGGGCCCAACAGCCAAGGCUUAAAGCCGCACUCCACACCUAGGCCUGUGACACCUCCCACAAGCUUCUUCACCUCUCAAGCCUCAACUUCUACUUCUGCAAACAGGGAACAAUAAAAGUAUCUCCCUGCCCCCACCUUGCAGGGUUUCCAGUUCCAAUGUCUACACACUCACCUGGGAGUUAUCUGAAAUUGUUGUUCACCUGCUUAAACCUUUUGAGUUUCCAGCACCCCCCAGAAGUCCCCACCCUCUAGUCCCUUAGCAAGAUACUGGCCCUGCGUGAGCUUCCCACCUUCCUUGACAGCUGCAUCUCUCAUCAUUAGGACCUGGGCAACACUGCAGAAUAUGGCAGGUCUUCCCUCAUCUCUGUGCUUUGCCUCCAUUCCCUGACUUCUCUCCCAUCCUCCUCCUGUCACCUGGCCUCUCCCCAUCCUACUGGCCUUAAAGCUCAGCUCCUGAAGCCUCCCUGAUGCUCCUCCCUUCAUAGCCCCUCCCAGCCUGGCCACGUGGGCUCGGGCAGCCCAGAGCCUGGGCCUCCUGGUCACACUCUGAGCACACAGCCCAUUUUCUCUCCAGUGCUGGCUUGUGUUUGACACCAUGCCUGACACAUUGGGGGUGCUCAGUAGACCUGUGUGAGAUGGACAGCCUCCCGUACAGAUGGACGGACAGAUGUACAGCCCCGUGGAGAUGCCCUGUGUAAGCCACUGAAGCCUCUGGCCAACAGCAGUGGGAACCUGAGACGUGUCCACAAGCAUGCAUGGGAGCUUGGAAGUGGAUCCUUCAGCCCCAGCCAAGCCUUCAGACGAUGCAGCCUCAGGGACAGUAUGACUGCAGCCUCAUGAGACCCUGAGCCAGAAACACCCCUCCAAGCCACUCCCAGAUGCCUGGCCCUCAGAACCUGGGAGGCCAGCAAGCAGGAUCGCUCACCAGCCACCCUCCUGAACUGGCCUAUGGGGCCCCAGGAUGAUGCCAUAGCCACAAGUCUGGAGUUCCUCAAAGUACCUGGUCAGCACAACUCAGUUAAACAAUGGGCAAAAGACCUGAACAGACACUUCGCCAGAGAAGAUGUACAGAUGCAAGUAAGCAUUUGAAAAGGUGCCCCACAUCGUAUGUCGUUAGGGAAUGGUCCAAUCCAGAACACUGAUGGCACCAAAGGCUGCUGAGCAUGUGGAGCAGCAGAACUCUCAUUCACUGCUGGUGAGAAAAAUGGCGCAGCCCCAAUAGGGAACCCUAAUGCAGACUCUGGACUUCACUGGAAAUGACGUGUCAGUGUAGCUGCGUCAGUUGUAACAAAUGCACCAGUCUGGUGGGCGUGUUGAUAACCGGGGCUGCGCACGUGGGGAGAGAGGACCUGUGGGAAUGCUCUACUUUCCACUCAUUUUUGCUGUGAACUUAAAACUGCUCUUACAAAAUAACAUUGUUUGUUGUUGUUGUUGUUGUUGUUGUUGUUGUUGUUUUUAAGUAUCUAGUCAGCUCCACACAUGACCCGGGCAGAGUGGGAAGUUGUAGAGUGCCCCAAGGAGAGAAAUGGAACCAGGUCUCAUGUGGGGCCAAGUGUGGGCUCCCUGUCCUCUCAGCUGGUCCCAGGAACUGAAGGGAAAUUUAGACAACUUGGAGAAAGACACUCUAGGGCUCGGGGCAAAGGGUGGUGUUGAUGAGAACCAUAUUUUUUUAUUGCUGGUGUAAGCACUUGUAUUUUUCUGAUUUUCCACUGGUUCGAUAAUAAGGGUAAAAGACAAUAAAGCAUACUUUUUAAGCUUUUGUUUAGAAGUUUUUUUUCCAAUAAAACUUCCCCAAAA